rnacentral:rRNA from 1 species
GACGAACGCUGGCGGCGUGCUUAACACAUGCAAGUCGAACGAAGUGGCGAACGGGUGAGUAAAGCGUAAUCAACCUGCCCUUCAGAGGGGGACAACAGCUGGAAACGACUGCUAAUACAGCAUACUGAAGGAGGGGCUUGCGUCUGAUUAGCUAGUUGGCGGGGUAACGGCCCAACAAGGCGAUGAUCAGUAGCGGGACUGAUAGGGUGAACGGCCACAUGGGGACUGAGACACGGCCCAGACCCCUACGGGAGGCAGCAGUGGGGAAGCGUCCGCAAUGGACGAAAGUCUGACGGUGCAACGCCGCGUGAGUGAUGACGGCCUUCGGGUUGUAAAGCUCUGUUAAUCGGGACGCGGUACCGGAAUAGAAAGCCACGGCUAACUACGUGCCAGCAGCCGCGGUAAUAC